rnacentral:rRNA from 1 species
GAUGAACGCUGGCGGCGUGCCUAAUACAUGCAAGUCGAGCGAACAGAUAAGGAGCUUGCGCCGUGGACGUGAGCGGCGGACGGGUGAGUAACACGUGGGUAACCUAUCUAUAAGACGGGAAUAACUCGGGGAAACCGGGGCUAAUGCCGGAUAAGAUGUUGAACCGCAUGGGGGGACAGAGAAAGGCGGCGUUGCGGGAAGGUAUAGAUGGACCCGCGCCGUAUUAGCUAGUUGGGGAGGUAACGGCUCACCAAGGCAACGAUACGUAGCCGACCUGAGAGGGUGAUCGCCCACCCUGGAACUGAGCCACGCUCCAGACUCCUACGGGACGCCGCAGUCGGCAACCUUCCGCAAUGGGCGAGAGCCUGACGGAGCAACGCCGCGUGAGUUAUGACGGUCUUCGGAUCGUAAAACUCUGUUAUUAGGGAAGAACCAAUGCCUCCGUAACUGUGCGCGUCUUGACGGUACCUAAUCAGAAAGCCCCGGCUAACUACGUG